ACCUGCUCUAUGAUUUAUAUUAAAUGGCCGCGAUAUUUUGAUCGUGCAAAGGUAGCAUAAUCAUUAGUUUCUUAAUUAGGAACUGGAAUGAAAGGUUGAACGAGAAAAAAACUGUCUCAAUUUAAUUUAAUUAGAAUUUUAUAUUUAAGUAAAAAAGCUUAAAUUUUUUUAAAAGACGAGAAGACCCUAUAGAGUUUUAUAUUAAAUUAAUUUUAAAAGUAAUUUAGAAUCAUUUUUUUUAUUUUUUGUUUAGUAUUUAGUUGGGGUGACUAAAAAAUUAAUAAAACUUUUUUUUAUUUUUUUCAUUUAUUUAUGUUUAAUUGAUCCAUUAAUUAUGAUUAAAAGAUUAAAUUA
rnacentral:rRNA from 1 species